GUUGUAGUGUUCAAUCCUUUCUCAAAUUCAAAAUCAACUACCAGUUACGUUCCCGGAGAUGGAUAUGAUUUUCCGGCGAGAUUUGCAGAUGAAUCGGAGAAGAAACGGAGGAAGGAGGAGCUGGAUCGAUCGAGAAUAGCUGUGUGUUUAGUAGGUGGGGCCCGUAGGUUUGAACUUACUGGGCCUUCAAUUAUACAGAAAAUUUUAAAAGUUUAUCCGAAUUCUGAUCUGUU
rnacentral:misc_RNA from 1 species